rnacentral:rRNA from 1 species
UACGGAGGGUGCAAGCGUUAUCCGGAUUCACUGGGUUUAAAGGGUGCGUAGGUGGGCAAGUAAGUCAGUGGUGAAAUCUCCGGGCUUAACCCGGAAACUGCCAUUGAUACUAUUUGUCUUGAAUACUGUGGAGGUCAGCGGAAUAUGUCAUGUAGCGGUGAAAUGCGUAGAUAUCUGGAGGAAUACCGGUGGCGAAGGCGGCAUCCUGGACCGAGAUUGACACUGAUGAGCGAAAGCUAGGGGAGCAAACGGG